rnacentral:rRNA from 1 species
CGUCAGCUCGUGCCGUGAGGUGUUGGUUAAGUCCCGCAACGAGCGCAACCCCUAUUCUCAGUUGCCAGCAACAUAAUGGUGGGCACUCUGUGGAGACUGCCCGGGUUAACCGGGAGGGAAGGUGGGGAUGACGUCAAGUCAUCAUGGCCCUUACGCCUAGGGCUACACACGUACUACAAUGGUGGGUACAAAGGGCAGCAAAACCGCGAGGUCGAGCGAAUCUCAAAAAACCCAUCAUAGUCCGGAUUGCAGUCUGCAACUCGACUGCAUGAAGUUGGAAUCGCUAGUAAUCCCGGAUCAGCAUGCCGGGGUGAAUACGUUCCCGGGCCUU